rnacentral:rRNA from 1 species
GAUGAACGCUGGCGGCGUGCCUAAUACAUGCAAGUCGAGCGAACGGACGAGGAGCUUGCUUCUCUGACGUUAGCGGCGGACGGGUGAGUAACACGUGGAUAACCUACCUAUAAGACUGGGAUAACUUCGGGAAACCGUAGCUAAUACCGGAUAAUAUUUUGAACCGCAUGGUUCAAAAGUGAAAGACGGUCUUGCUGUCACUUAUAGAUGGAUCCGCGCUGCAUUAGCUAGUUGGUAAGGUAACGGCUUACCAAGGCAACGAUGCGUAGCCGACCUGAGAGGGUGAUCGGCCACACUGGAACUGAGACACGGUCCAGACUCCUACGGGAGGCAGCAGUAGGGAAUCUUCCGCAAUGGGCGAAAGCCUGACGGAGCAACGCCGCGUGAGUGAUGAAGGUCUUCGGAUCGUAAAACUCUGUUAUUAGGGAAGAACAUAUGUGUAAGUAACUGUGCACGUCUUGACGGUACCUAAUCAGAAAGCCACGGCUAACUACGUG